AACGAACGCUGGCGGCAGGCCUAACACAUGAAAGUCGAACGGGACCUUCGGGUCUAGUGGCGGACGGGUGAGUAACGCGUGGGAACGUGCCCUCUGGUUCGGAAUAGCCCCGGGAAACUGGGAGUAAUACCGGAUAAGCCCUAGGGGGGAAAGAUUUAUCGCCAAAGGAUCGGCCCGAGUUGGAUUAGGUAAUUGGUGAGGUAAUGGCUCACCAAGCCGACGAUCCAUAGCUGGCUUGAGAGGAUGAUCAGCCACACUAGGACUGAGACACGGACCAGACUCCUACGGGAGGCAGCAGUGGGGAAUCUUAGACAAUGGGGGAAACCCUGAUCUAGCCAUGCCGCGUGAUCGAUGAAGGCCUUAGGGUUGUAAAGAUCUUUCAGUGGGGAAGAUAAUGACUGUACCCACAGAAGAAGCCCCGGCUAACUCCGUGCCAGCCGCCGCAGUAA
rnacentral:rRNA from 1 species